CUUCCGGGAGCGGAGAGGCGGCCGGGGGGAGAGGCUGGAGGGAGGGGGGCUUCACGGAGCUCCAGCCAGGGCCGCGGUGCGCCUGCACGUCACGGCUACUCAAACCCAAGCACGUCCCGAAAGCGGUAUUUUCUGCGUCUGGGAGGUUUUUGCAUCCUCAGUUCCCACCGCUGGGGCUGGCGGCGACCAACUCGCGGACCUGUCGCAGCCAGAGAGCUGUCAUUUUAGCACCGGGAUUCAGAAUUGAUCCAGUCCGCAGCGGAGGGGGCACAUCCCAGCUCCCAAGCUGCUGAGUGUCUCUGGCUGGAACAAUAGUAGUUUUUCUCUGCGAGGCUGCAAUUAACAUCUUAUUUGUUCUGGCUCCAUACAGGCUUUGUCAGGAUCGCGGUGCGGCGACCGAGGUUGAGCUCUUGCAUUGCUUUCUGCUUGGCAAUGGAAUCGUGGUUUCGGGGUCUAAACUUUUGUUUCGUUUUGUAGUCUUAAUGCAUCUGAUUCUUUUUCAAGUUUCCCUAGUAACAGGUUUGGGGACGGGUGGGAAGAAACGAGAAAAGGGGUGAAGAGAAACAACCAGAUUAUAUAGAAAGGGAAAAGGGAUAAGUUUCCCCACCUUUUAAUCUAUCCAUCUGCCUAUCUAUUAUCUAUCAGUCAUUUUGCCUCCUGGACAGUUGGCUGACCAAGUGUCUGAUAAACCAGCUUCAGAUACACGCUACAAAAGGUCAUUCGCCUCCUGAUUAUGUCUCUACUUGUAAACGCAGUUGGUGGUUUGCAAAACAAGUGCUAAAAUAGUGCAAGGAUGUGGUGGGAGGAAACCAUAAUGGGCAAUUUAUAUAAAGUGCUGGAAUCUUCAUAAGGGUGAGUUUCUCGAGCGGCAGGUGAAGUUGAAUGAAGCAAUUUUCCAUCAUUUGUUCCCCUCACUCUUGCAUUUUUUUCCUCCGCUUGUUUCUCUCCCCUGGAGCGAUUAUGGAUAGCCAAGAACACCAUUUUAAAAGAGAUUGAUAGUGAAAACAGGAAGAUGCUGAUGGUCUUUUAUCCACUGAAGUUGUUUGAUAUAUUAAAAUUGGUCCUUUACUUCUUAAUACAUAUUAACAGAGUGACCCUCUUCAAGGCUUUCCCUUCUUAAACGAGUGCCUGGGAUAAACACUCUGUAAGGGAAACAGUUAAUAAUUCCCCAACAGGCUUUAACUAUUUUCCCAGUAACAGAUCACCGGCAAGAGAGCAGCCUGGGUGGCAUUUUGGUUUUGUGUCAUUUUGGUUCUUUACAAUAUUU
rnacentral:lncRNA from 1 species